rnacentral:rRNA from 6 species
CGGGUUGUCAUGCCAAUGGCACUGCCCGGUAGCUAAAUGCGGAAGAGAUAAGUGCUGAAAGCAUCUAAGCACGAAACUUGCCCCGAGAUGAGUUCUCCCUGAGACUUAGAGUCUCCUGAAGGAACGUUGAAGACGACGACGUUGAUAGGCCGGGUGUGUAAGCGCAGCGAUGCGUUGAGCUAACCGGUACUAAUGAACCGUGAGGCUUAACCUUACAACGCCGAAG